rnacentral:snRNA from 1 species
AUCGCUUCUCGGCCUUUUGGCUAAGAUCAAGUGUAGUAUCUGUAGCAUUCAUUCUCUGUAAUACUCUUCUAUAUUGCAUUUUGUCAUGUGCAUUCCUGAAUGUGUGUGGUGGAGGGAAGACAGACAGAGACAGAGACAAAGACAGAGAGUAUACAUCUCCCCAGUCAGUCUCUUAACUCUU